GGCUCGGUGGUGGAGGGUCCAUGCCAGCUUCGAAUGAUCUCUGUCGCGUUGCAAAGAAGUUCAAGCAGGAGAGCGCCCGUUCGAUUCGGGCUCGAGCCA